CUGGGAGGAGGCAGCGGAGGGACUCGCUGCGCAGGGCGCGGAUCCUGAGGCCGAGCUCUGCCAGCUUCCCUCCCCACCCCCAUUCGGCCUGGGUAUGGCGGCGAGGCCCCGCACAGAGGGACUCCCACUUCGACUGGAGAGGUGGGGGCGACGCCAGAUUCCAGAGGCUGGCGCCGCGGGGGAGGGCGGAGGUCGCAGGUCUGGCCACAAGUCGGCGUGGCAGUCAGCUGGAGGCUCCGAGAGCGGAGAUCCCAGUGCACCCACCUUACCUCGCUUACACCAAAGCGCCAUCUCGCCGCCCGGGUUGCGAAAAACCACGACCCUCUUAAACUACUGUAGCAACCACUAAUUCCCCCUGGGAGCAGCUAGAGAGGGGCACUUGGAAACCUUCACGAGCUCGGUGCCUGAAGGUCUCUGAGGCUCUUGCCCUCAAGAUCUCUCCCAUUCAGCCCCGAUUCUCCGGACAACCUGACCUAGCAUGUCGCCAGCCUCUUGGUGAAACGCCUAAAGUGUGCUGCCCCACUUCUCUUGAAAGUUUACACCGAAGGGAUGAGGUUUUGCCCUUUACAGGGUUGGGGCACAAAGUCGGAGUCGCUGCGGCUCCGAAAUAGAAACGGAGUUGCCCAUUUCGUAUGCUUCAUCAACAUCUGCUUGCAUUUUGAAAUCCUAGUCUUAACUUUUACACAACUUUUAGAGAAAUGGCUGCCCUCCUAGAGGGAAAAACGAACUACAGU
rnacentral:lncRNA from 1 species